GAAUCUUGGACAAUGGGCGAAAGCCUGAUCCAGCGACGCCGCGUGACUGAUGAAGCCCUUCGGGGUGUAAAGGUCUUUCAGCGGGGCCAAUAAUGAUGGUACCCGCAGAAGCAGCUGCGGCUAACUACGUCCCAGCAGCCGCGGUAAUACGUAGGCAGCAAGCGUUGUUCGGAAUUACUGGGCGUAAAGCGAGUGUAGGCGGUCUGCCAAGUCUGCUGUGAAAUCUCCCGGCUCAACUGGGAGGGUGCGGCGGAAACUGACAGGCUCGAGUGCGGGAGAGGAGAGUGGAAUUCCUGGUGUAGCGGUGAAAUGCGUAGAUAUCAGGAGGAACACCGGUGGUGAAGACGGCUCUCUGGACCGCGACUGACGCUGAGACUCGAAAGCGUGGGGAGCAAACAGG
rnacentral:rRNA from 1 species